rnacentral:rRNA from 1 species
UACGGGGGGGGCAAGCGUUGUUCGGAAUUACUGGGCGUAAAGGGCUCGUAGGUGGCCAACUAAGUCAGACGUGAAAUCCCUCGGCUUAACCGGGGAACUGCGUCUGAUACUGGAUGGCUUGAGUUUGGGAGAGGGAUGCGGAAUUCCAGGUGUAGCGGUGAAAUGCGUAGAUAUCUGGAGGAACACCGGUGGCGAAGGCGGCAUCCUGGACCAACACUGACACUGAGGAGCUAAAGCCAGGGGAGCAAACGGG